GAUGAACGCUGGCGGCGUGCCUAAUACAUGCAAGUCGAGCGAACAGAUGAGGAGCUUGCUCCUCUGACGUUAGCGGCGGACGGGUGAGUAACACGUGGAUAACCUACCUAUAAGACUGGGAUAACUUCGGGAAACCGGAGCUAAUUCCGGAUAAUAUAUUGAACCGCAUGGUUCAAUAGUGAAAGACGGUUUUGCUGUCACUUAUAGAUGGAUCCGCGCCGCAUUAGCUAGUUGGUAAGGUAACGGCUUACCAAGGCAACGAUGCGUAGCCGACCUGAGAGGGUGAUAGGCCACACUGGAACUGAGACACGGUCCAGACUCCUACGGGAGGCAGCAGUAGGGAAUCUUCCGCAAAGGGCGAAAGCCUGACGGAGCAACGCCGCGUGAGUGAUGAAGGUCUUCGGAUCGUAAAACUCUGUUAUUAGGGAAGAACAAAUGUGUAAGUAACUAUGCACGUCUUGACGGUACCUAAUCAGAAAGCCACGGCUAACUACGUG
rnacentral:rRNA from 1 species